AAAUCUUCAUGCUUUUCAAUCUAGCUAUUUGAUCAAAUCCAAAUUCACAACACGCAUCUUACACAAGUACACCCACAAAUCUAAAAAAUUUCACUUAUAGAUCUAUUAUCAAACUCUUGAAAUUGUCCAAAACGUCAAUCCUAUUUUAUUUUUCUAAAACCAAAGUCACCAAAAACAACAUCAACUUUGCAAAGCUCUUACAAAAUCAUUACUCACUUAAUUCUCCAAAAUCAAUGCCUAUAAAAAUUCUAUCAAGUCUUUUCUCUAAUCUCAUUCUCCAAUCAACAAAAGAACCUUCAAAUUGUCAUCAAGACUCAAUUUUGUGCCUUGGAGUAUGUUUCCAAUCCAAGUUCAUAACCAGCCC
rnacentral:lncRNA from 1 species